UACAGAGGGGGCAAGCGUUGUUCGGAAUUACUGGGCGUAAAGGGCGCGUAGGCGGCCCGCUAAGUCGAACGUGAAAUCCCCGAGCUCAACUCGGGAACUGCGUCCGAUACUGGCGGGCUUGAAUCCGGGAGAGGGAUGCGGAAUUCCAGGUGUAGCGGUGAAAUGCGUAGAUAUCGGGAGGAACACCAGUGGCGAAGGCGACUACCUGGCCUGUUCUUGACGCUGAGGCGCGAAAGCUAGGGGAGCAAACGGGG
rnacentral:rRNA from 1 species